CCUACUCCGGUGAGAAAAGCUCUGACAGAAAAAGCUUGAGUUAUCAACAAGCCUCUCCCCCAAGUAAGACACAACCAGCAGACCCCAGACGUAAUGCUGCUGGUCUCUUCCUGAGUUCCACAGAUCAGCUCUUCUGAAGGGUAAUAAACUAGUUCAGCAUAUUGAGAAACUUAGGGGAAAACUGAAGUAAUGCGAGACCUUAGGGGCUUUUGCUGUCGUUGUUGAAAGGGCCAGCACCUUCAUGACUGAUACAUGGGAAAGAGGACAACCUUACACCCUUAGCAAAGAACAUCCUUAGCAAAGAAAGCAUGGGGGAUACCAGUUACCCUUCCCGGCUUACAUCCUGUGUGGGCUUGGCAGACAUCAGCUCCCGAGCACCUAGAAGGCACUUCCUUCUCCAGAGGAGCUUCAUGGAAACAAGGACUCUGUUGCAACUGGCUGAGGUUGGAACUAAUUCCUCCUCUGUCUGCAUUACAAAAUAAGUGAAGACUAACCAGCCCGGGCAGGUUUUUUUGUAUCCUUGGAUUGCUCUCUGCCUCUUUUCAAGAGCUUUUGCUGUAAAAUAACCAGACUACAUCUAAAUUUAGCCAUGUGAUAUGGUACAAACAGGCUUUCAUGCCUGCUGUGUCAUCAAGGGGAUUUCAGGAUUUUCUAAUUGGUCUGCCUCGGUGCAUCUGAUGCAAUCGCCCAUCAUCAGUUUGUGCUCAGGAGUCUGGGUGGGAAGUGAAAGUACAGACAAGCCUGCCUAGGCCAUCUCUGCCUUGCAAGAGCUUGCCGCUAGCUGUGUGUGGCUCUGAGACCCAGAUUCAGGCCAAUUCAAAAUGAAAACCUUCAAAUGAGUGCUCCGAAAGUAAAACAAAAACUGAAUCUACUUGCUACAUCUUGAUGAGGCCCAUAAGGUAGCAAAGGUUUGGGGGUACAAGGUCAAGCUGAAGGGUUAAGGCCUGAAAGGGGUUUGCCCCUCGGAUAAACUAAACAUCCUUUGCCAGUGGCAUGCUGUGGAAAGGCGGCCCUGAGGAAAGGCUAGUGACCCAUGGGGGAUCCAAAUUUCCACGGCUGGAUGGCAUCUCUUCCAGGCCUUUCCCAUGGAGGCAAAGACUCCAGACUGAACUUGAAGAGUUCUAGGCAAUCCUCUCAGAGUUAGGACUUUGAAGAUCAAAUGAGAAUGAUAGGGAUUUGGAAAAACUAGUACUUGGUCAGUAUUUAUGCUUAUGGCUCUUUACCAGAAAGGAAAAAAAUAAUUGCUCUACUAUCCUCUAAGUUAUUUUUAUCACUUAAAUGAAAAAGAACUAGCUGAGGUUAUUUGGCAUAUCACAAUGUUUUUCUUAUUUUUUUUUCUGAUUAUCAAUUCAUGCUCGCUGAAAAAAAUAGUCAAAUGUUACAGAAAUGUGUAACAUAGAAAAUAAGAAGACUUCUUCAGCACAACCUCCAAGGUAAGUUUGGAUAGCAAUUUGUUUUAUAGGCUCAUUUCUUUUCCCCCCACAGAUACUCUAUCUAUCUAUCUAUCUAUCUAUCUAUCUAUCUAUCUAUCUAUCUAUCUAUCUUUAUAAGAAUGAAAUCUUCCAUGAUAUACUUAUAAAUUGCAUUUCCAUUCAACAAUAUACCUUUCCCUGUUUAUUUAUAAAGACAUACCUGGAUGCCUUGUUUGGUUUUUAAGACUAGAUUUCUUUAAAGUUAUAAGUUACACACAGAAUUAAAGCAGAGAAUACAGAGAUAUAUAUUGAAAAUAAAAAUGCUUCCCUCCUCUCUACA
ensembl:lncRNA